GGUAACCAGCUUUUUGGUAAACAGUACUAACGUUAGAGAUACUAGUGCUACGUAAUUUUUAUCGGCGAAGGAACAACGUUCCAGGUCAUGUUGCACCUUUAAGUCGACGAAACAGUGCGUAGCAAGUGAUUCACAAGAACUUCUCAUAGGUGUAAUCAGUAACAUUGUUGAAUCAUCAUCAGUAGUGAAUUCUACUUAUUUGGCUUCUAGACGGAGCAUUUUAACUAUUUUCCCGCUUUUAGAGGAUUUCUCCGAACAUCUCAGUGAAGCAGAGGAGAACGGCAAGAUGGCUGACAGUAUACACAGCGAACACACAGAGGACAGGGAUGCCACCUCCGCAGCUGUUGUGAACGUCGAGGUUGGAGCGAAGACACGGGCGCUGCCUCGCUACCUGCUGCUAAUCCGCUGCCCGCAGCAAACGCAUGCUAUUGUGGCUCCAUUAGCCUCCACAAUAGAACCGACGCGUCUGGUCAGCCGACAGGGCAAGCCUGUGUGAUGAAUGGGGUCACCACGCGGCAGUGGUCAUCGACCCUGAGCCAACUGACAUGAAAUGUUUGUUGAAUACACGUGAAAGACACUGGAAUUUACAUAAAUUUAGACAUGAUAUCAGUAGUGUAAGGGAAAGAGUUAACAACAACUAGCUACAGAGAUGAGGGCCGCCGAUUAGACGAUGGCUACCCGGGUUUCUGGUCAGAUCUGUCCUGUUCUGCUGCUCUGUGGUACCCCAGGGCUACCUCUGAUGUUACUUGUUUGGUAGUAACCCCACGUCUGCCCAAUACUUCUAGCUGGUCUUGGACGCCUACUCAGCCUAGUGCUCUCGCUGACAACCACCGUAUGGAGUCAUGCUGCCACAGCCGCAAUUCUAUUCACACAGGUUUUCAAACUAUCGUGUCUCAGUGAUGUCUUAAGACGGCACAUAUAUUACAGUCUUUAUCAUUGUUGUGAUGGUAUUUGCACAGAAACGAAGGUAAUCGGGUAACAGACUGAAUAAAUCAUAAUUAUACUACUACUUUGUAUAGAGCCGCCAGAGACAGUGGGUUCCUUGUACCAAAAUACCUAAAAGGUAUACCUGAACAACCUUUGAAAAUUUGUUGCUUGAGUUCUAGUUCGAGUUGGAACUUAAAUAGUGGAAACUAUUUAUUCACAGCCGAUACAAAAGAGUUACAUGUUUGCACCUGCUACUGUCCUUCA